rnacentral:rRNA from 1 species
AAUCCAUAGGUUAAUGAGGCGAACCGGGGGAACUGAAACAUCUAAGUACCCCGAGGAAAAGAAAUCAACCGAGAUUCCCCCAGUAGCGGCGAGCGAACGGGGAGGAGCCCAGAGCCUGAAUCAGCAUGUGUGUUAGUGGAAGCGUCUGGAAAGGCGCGCGAUACAGGGUGACAGCCCCGUACACAAAAGCGCAUGUGCUGUGAGCUCGAUGAGUAGGGCGGGACACGUGGUAUCCUGUCUGAAUAUGGGGGGACCAUCCUCCAAGGCUAAAUACUCCUGACUGACCGAUAGUGAACCAGUACCGUGAGGGAAAGGCGAAAAGAACCCCGGCGAGGGGAGUGAAAAAGAACCUGAAACCGUGUACGUACAAGCAGUGGGAGCACCCUUUGGGUGUGACUGCGUACCUUUUGUAUAAUGGGUCAGCGACUUAUAUUCUGUAGCAAGGUUAACCGAAUAGGGGAGCCGGAGGGAAACCGAGUCUUAAUUGGGCGUUAAGUUGCAGGGUAUAGACCCGAAACCCGGUGAUCUAGCCAUGGGCAGGUUGAAGGUUGGGUAACACUAACUGGAGGACCGAACCGACUAAUGUUGAAAAAUUAGCGGAUGACCUGUGGCUGGGGGUGAAAGGCCAAUCAAACCGGGAGAUAGCUGGUUCUCCCCGAAAGCUAUUUAGGUAGCGCCUCGUGAAUUCAUCUCCGGGGGUAGAGCACUGUUUCGGCUAGGGGGCCAUCCCGGCUUACCAACCCGAUGCAAACUGCGAAUACCGGAGAAUGUUAUCACGGGAGACACACGGCGGGUGCUAACGUCCGUCGUGAAGAGGGAAACAACCCAGACCGCCAGCUAAGGUCCCAAAGUCAUGGUUAAGUGGGAAACGAUGUGGGAAGGCCCAGACAGCCAGGAUGUUGGCUUAGAAGCAGCCAUCAUUUAAAGAAAGCGUAAUAGCUCACUGGUCGAGUCGGCCUGCGCGGAAGAUGUAACGGGGCUAAACCAUGCACCGAAGCUGCGGCAGCGACACUGUGUGUUGUUGGGUAGGGGAGCGUUCUGUAAGCCUGCGAAGGUGGCCUGUGAGGGUUGCUGGAG